CAACCGUCAAACCUUCCAUUCAUUGAUUCGGCACGUCACCGGUCUUUCUAUCUUAAACUGCAUGGGGUACGGGUUGUAUCGUCACUGAUUAUCAAAAAUGACUGAAACUUUAAAACUCCGAGGAACCCUAUGUGGACAUAAUGGUUGGGUUACGCAAAUUGCAACCAAUCCCAAAUAUCCGGACAUGAUUUUGUCUUCAUCUCGAGACAAGACCCUGAUUGUAUGGAAAUUGACCCGAGAUGAAACAAACUAUGGUGUCCCUCAGAAGCGUUUGUAUGGUCAUUCCCAUUUCAUCUCGGACGUAGUACUAUCCAGCGAUGGCAACUACGCACUCUCUGGUUCUUGGGAUAAGACCCUACGCUUGUGGGAUCUCGCUGCCGGAAGAACCACUAGGCGUUUUGAAGACCAUACUAAGGUGUGACAGAAUUUUUAGUUUUAGUAGGGUUAUUGUGGUAAAGUCAAUAAAAGUGUAGUGCCUAUGCGAGGCAGAAGAGUAGUGUGUUUGUGCCUUUGCGAGGCAGAAGAUUUUCCGAGUGGCUUUGCAUUACACAGGUCUGACAUCUGGUGAUGUCCUUUCUGUGGCUUUCUCAGUAGAUAAUCGUCAGAUUGUCUCUGGUUCCCGUGACAAGACCAUCAAGUUGUGGAACACUCUGGCAGAGUGCAAAUACACUAUCCAAGAUGAUGGCCACACUGACUGGGUGUCAUGUGUUCGAUUCUCCCCCAACCAUGCCAAUCCUAUCAUCGUGUCUGCUGGUUGGGACCGCACUGUCAAG
rnacentral:misc_RNA from 1 species